AUAAUAGAGGCGCGAAGCUCAUAAGUACCGUUUUGGAGGCCCUCAAAGGCCUGUGAUGAUGCGGGAAAGGGUGUUUUGCCGAAGCUGAGAUCCGUUUGAGAGGAUCGAAGCUGGGCGGCUGGAGAAUAUCCUGACGACUGUCGCAGAAAUGCGGAGUGCUAUUGU
rnacentral:ncRNA from 1 species